rnacentral:rRNA from 1 species
UACGGAGGGUGCAAGCGUUAUCCGGAUUUACUGGGUUUAAAGGGUGCGUAGGUGGGUCUGUAAGUCAGUGGUGAAAUCUCCGGGCUUAACCCGGAAACUGCCAUUGAUACUAUAGGUCUUUGAAUAUCCUGGAGGUGAGCGGAAAUAUGUCAUGUAGCGGUGAAAUGCUUAGAUAUGACAUAGAACACCAAAUUGCGAAGGCAGCUCACUACGGGAUUAUUGACACUGAGGCACGAAAGCGUGGGGAUCAAACAGG